UUAGCUCAGCUGGGAGAGCGCCUGCCUUGCACGCAGGAGGUCAGCGGUUCGAUCCCGCUA
rnacentral:tRNA from 1 species